rnacentral:miRNA from 1 species
CUCUCUGGCCGUCUACCUUCCA